rnacentral:rRNA from 1 species
CGGUGGAGAGUAGAGCGGCGCACGGGUGAGUAACACGUGAGUAAUCUGCCCUUGGGAUUGGGAUAACAGUUCGAAAGGACUGCUAAUACCGGAUAAGCCCACACCACUGCGGUGGAGUGGGAAAAGUGGGGGAGCCUUCGGGUCCUCAUGCCCUUGGAUGAGCUCGCGGUCCAUUAGGUAGUUGGUGGGGUAACGGCCCACCAAGCCGAAGAUGGAUAGCUGGUUUGAGAGGACGAUCAGCCACACUGGCACUGAGACACGGGCCAGACUCCUACGGGAGGCAGCAGUGGGGAAUCUUGCGCAAUGGGCGAAAGCCUGACGCAGCCAUGCCGCGUGAGUGACGAAGGCCUUCGGGUUGUAAAGCUCUGUCUGAGGGGACGAACGUCCCGGGUGCGAAUAGUUCCCGGGAGUGACGGUACCCUCAAAGAAAGCACCGGCUAACUCCGUGCCAGCAGCCGCGGCAAUACGGAGGGUGCGAGCGUUGUUCGGAAUUACUGGGCGUAAAGCGCGUGUAGGUGGUGUCGUAAGUCGGGUGUGAAAUCCCUGGGCUCAACCCAGGAACUGCGCUCGAAACUGCAGCACUAGAGUACGGGAGAGGGGAGUGGAAUUCCUGGUGUAGAGGUGAAAUUCGUAGAUAUCAGGAGGAACACCCGCGGCGAAGGCGACUCCCUGGACCGAUACUGACACUGAGACGCGAAAGCAUGGGGAGCAAACAGGAUUAGAUACCCUGGUAGUCCAUGCCGUAAACGAUGGGCACUAGAUGCUGCAGGUAUGACUCCCGCAGUGUCGUAGCUAACGUGUUAAGU